AAACCUAUAACUCAGUUGGUUAGAGUGCACGCUUGAUAAGCGUGAAGUCGAUAGUUCGAGUCUAUCUAGGUUCACUA
rnacentral:tRNA from 1 species